rnacentral:precursor_RNA from 10 species
AUCAGAGAUGUCUCUGGGCAGAAUUGCAUAAGCUGGAAUAUUGGUUCUUAGCAUCGCUGUUGAAAGUGCCAGAUCUAACUCUUCCGGCUUAUGCAGUCUCCCGUCGGCUGGGAACGUUGAG